UACGGGGGGGGCAAGCGUUGUUCGGAAUUACUGGGCGUAAAGGGCUCGUAGGUGGCCAACUAAGUCAGACGUGAAAUCCCUCGGCUUAACCGGGGAACUGCGUCUGAUACUGGAUGGCUUGAGUUUGGGAGAGGGAUGCGGAAUUCUCGGUGUAGCGGUGAAAUGCGUAGGUAUCGAGAGGAACACCUGCGGCGAAGGCGGGUUGCUGGGCUGACACUGACGCUGAAGCGCGAAAGCUAGGGGAGCGAACGGG
rnacentral:rRNA from 1 species